rnacentral:tRNA from 1 species
GGAAGUGUGUCCGAAUUAAGAGUUACUUUGAUAGAGUAAAACAAAGAGGUUGAAACCCUCUCACUUCCU